rnacentral:rRNA from 1 species
ACUGAAUAGAUACCCAGGUAGUCCAUGCUGUAAACGAUGAGAACUAGAUGUUAGGGGGCAUGACCUCUUAGUAUCGAAGCUAACGCGAUAAGUUCUCCGCCUGGGGAGUACGGCCGCAAGGUUAAAACUCAAAGAAAUUGACGGGGGCCCGCACAAGCGGUGGAGCAUGUGGUUUAAUUCGAUGCAACGCGAAGAACCUUACCUACCUUUGAAUCCACGGAACCUAGCAGAGAUGUUGGGGUGCCUUCGGGAGCCGUGAGACAGGUGCUGCAUGGCUGUCGUCAGCUCGUGUCGUGAGAUGUUGGGUUAAGUCCCGUAACGAGCGCAACCCUUGUCCUUAGUUGCCAUCAGGUUAUGCUGGGCACUUUAAGGAGACUGCCGGUGAUAAACCGGAGGAAGGUGGGGAUGACGUCAAGUCCUCAUGGCCCUUACAGGUAGGGCUACACACGUGCUACAAUGGGCAGUACAGAGGGAAGCCAACCCGCGAGGGGAGCGAAUCUCAUAAAGCUGUUCGUAGUCCGGAUUGGAGUCUGCAAC